CCCUCUUUCCAGCACCUUCCUUGGCCGCACACCUUUCACCAAUCAGCCCUCGUUACCACCUGCAUUUAAGCCUGCCUGAUCCUGGAAAUCCUGAUCCGGAGUAUUGCCGCUUUUCCAGCGUGUUUCCUCCGUGUCCCUCGCCAAGUGGAUUUCUGCCACCUCGCCGCCAAGCCAGCCCUCUUCACUACCUGCCACGCAUUCGUUGCAUCAACAACCCGCCGGGGCAUCUCUUGGACCAUUCCCAUUUCCCUUUUCAACAAACUGUUCAUCACUACCUCUCAGCCACCACCUGCUCUUGGGUCCAGUCUCAAGCCAUUCAUGACACUUUGAGGAAUAGUACUAUUGACUACACCACCCCAACCUGAAACAUGAAACCAUGAAUACUUACCAGGAAUAUUUCUGAAAGCCUUGGUGACACCAGCAUCUUGGUUAUAGAUGAUACAAGGCCCUCUGCGUUGAAUGCGUCGUCGAUUCCUCAUCUUACCC